rnacentral:lncRNA from 1 species
UCAUAAUAUAUUUCUUUAGAUUACUUUAUAUUGCUUGAUCUAAUUAGCAACAACAUGAUCUAAUAGUAGAUUUUACAAAAUCCAUCAUACUCACCUCAUGUGAGUAUAAAGAAGUAGCAAAUUUAAUAAAACUUUGAUGUGAGGCUUUACAAGCAAAGAAAGAUGGUUAAAAAGGAGAAAGAUAAGAGACUCAUAAAUGGAAGCAAGUACAAUAAAAAGAAACUAGUGUGUAAUGUAUGGUAAAGCAAUCAAAGUAUCAAUGUGCAAUAUAAAAGAAACUAGUGUAAAAUGUAAAAUUCUUCUUUUCAUCUUAUUCCAACUUCUCUGAAUUUCUAUCAUUUAACAUCUAUUUACAUUCUAUAAUGCCACCUACAUAACUUCCUUCA